GACGAGGGAUCCUAGCGUUGUUCGGAAUCAUUGGGCGUAAAGAGUAUGUAGGCGGCUUUGUAAGUCAGUUGUGAAAUCCCCGGGCUUAACCCGGGAAGUGCAAAUGAUACUGCUAAGCUUGAAUUUGGAAGAGGGUAGUGGAAUUCCUGGUGUAGUGGUGAAAUACGUAGAUAUCGGGAGGAACACCAGUGGCGAAGGCGACUACCUGGCCUGUUCUUGACGCUGAGGCGCGAAAGCUAGGGGAGCAAACGGGG
rnacentral:rRNA from 1 species